rnacentral:lncRNA from 1 species
AACUCCUUUACUUGGACUUGGAAUCCAGUAAGUAAUAAGUGAAAAGUGUAGCCGCAAAAGUGCCCUCUUCAGUCGCAGUUGCUGAACCUCAAUUAGUGUCCGUAAGCAUGCGUUAUGCCCAAAAGAGUGACAGUAGGUCCAAAACUAACACCUUAACUUUGAGUGCCUAUAUUUUCUUUAUAAAAACCCCAAAUGACACAAAACUUGCACCAAAACCAUAGCCAAAAACCUAAACCUUUUGACCUUAGCCUUUAAAACUCGAAUGGCCUCGACAAACUAACCCUAAUCCAUAAUAUGGCCUCAAGCAGCCUCCUCAAAGUCCAUUGGUCAUGAUUUUUGAUCAAUAGGAAUGGAGAUUUUCAU